GAGCUUGGCGGUGUUUUAGACCUCUCAGGGGAACCUGUCUCAUAAUCGACAAUCCACGUUAAACCUAACCUUUGAUAGCAAUUCAGCCUGUAUACCGUUGUCGUCAGGUAACUUCUUAAAAUAUAAUAGUUGGCUUGAGAAUUUUAUUAAUUAAAACGUCAAAUCAAGGUGCAGCUAAUAAAAAGGUGAAGAUGGGUUACAAUUACAUAUUUGUAAAUAUGGAUAAACAUUUGAAAGAAUGUUUUAAAGGAGGACUUGAAAGUAAUUUUGAUUAUAUAAAUAAGGUGAAUGAGGCUCUGAAACGUGCACACAUCGCCCGUCGCUCUCGUUGAAAAAUGAGAUAAGUCGUAACAUAGUAGGGGUAAUGGAAAUUGUUCCUAGGC
rnacentral:rRNA from 2 species